rnacentral:rRNA from 1 species
GAUGAACGCUAGCUACAGGCUUAACACAUGCAAGUCGAGGGGAAACGACAUCGAAAGCUUGCUUUUGAUGGGUGUCGACCGGCGCACGGGUGAGUAACGCGUAUCCAACCUGCCCACCACUUGGGGAUAACCUUGCGAAAGUAAGACUAAUACCCAAUGAUAUCCCACGAAGGCAUCCGAAUGGGAUUAAAGAUUUAUCGGUGAUGGAUGGGGAUGCGUCUGAUUAGCUUGUUGGCGGGGUAACGGCCCACCAAGGCAACGAUCAGUAGGGGUUCUGAGAGGAAGGUCCCCCCACAUUGGAACUGAGACACGGUCCAAACUCCUACGGGAGGCAGCAGUGAGGAAUAUUGGUCAAUGGGCGAGAGCCUGAACCAGCCAAGUAGCGUGCAGGACGACGGCCCUAUGGGUUGUAAACUGCUUUUAUAAGGGAAUAAAGUGGGUCACGUGUGACUUUUUGCAUGUACCUUAUGAAUAAGGACCGGCUAAUUCCGUG